rnacentral:snoRNA from 1 species
GGAUCGAUGAUGACUCCCUUAUAUGCAUUCCUUGGAAAAUCUGAACAAAAUGAGUGAGAACUCACUACCGUCGUUCUCAUCUAAACUGAUGGUCC